UACGAGGGGAGCAAGCGUUGUUCGGAUUUACUGGGCGUAAAGGGCGCGUAGGCGGCCACGACAAGUCACUUGUGAAAUCUCCGGGCUUAACUCGGAACGGUCAAGUGAUACUGUCGGGCUAGAGUACAGAAGGGGCAACUGGAAUUCUCGGUGUAGCGGUGAAAUGCGUAGAUAUCGAGAGGAACACCUGCGGCGAAGGCGAGUUGCUGGGCUGAUACUGACGCUGAUGCGCGAAAGCCAGGGGAGCGAACGGG
rnacentral:rRNA from 1 species